AUGGGAGGGAGGCGGGGCUCACGGCAGCACCCGCGGCUCGUUAACUGCAGAACAAUGACAAUUCUGGAGAAAUGGAUCUGCUGGAGAAGGACUCCUAACCCCAGCGGAUCAUCAGGACAGAGCUGCCAUCCACUUGGACCCCCCGAGGUGCUGGAGAAGGACUCCUAACCCCAGCGGAUCAUCAGGACAGAGCUGCCAUCCAGCUGGACCCCCCCCCCCGAGGUGCUGGAGAAAGCAAAAUGGCGAUCAGAAACAUCCUCCACCCAGACCUCUGCUUACUGCCGUCCUACAGACUUGUGUCUUAGUUUCAGAAUUUGAUUUUGUACGUGUCUUUUUUUUAAAUAGAUAUUUAACGAUUAUAGCUUGAGUCUGUCUGAUUCCCCAAACAGCUGCUUCUAUAUACUUGCUGCACAUAUAAUACAAAUAAACACACUUUUGCUGAUA